ACGUGGCUCUUCCGAUCUGAAGGAGGUAGCGUAUGGUAAUGAAUUACUGGAAACUAAUGAAUAUGUUAAAACUCCUUACAUGAAUAUGUAUGUAUGUAUGCAUAUAUGUUGUCAAACUGACUCCGUCUGGUACGCACAUUUGGAGGAGCGAUCCCCUGUGCGUCCAGCGCUGCAAUAAAGGAUACCUGCUUAAUAGUCA